rnacentral:rRNA from 1 species
UACGUAGGGUGCAAGCGUUGUCCGGAAUUAUUGGGCGUAAAGAGCUCGUAGGCGGUCUGUCGCGUCGGCUGUGAAAUCUCGGGGCUCAACCCCGAGCCUGCAGUCGAUACGGGCAGACUAGAGUGCUGUAGGGGAGACUGGAAUUCCUGGUGUAGCGGUGAAAUGCGCAGAUAUCAGGAGGAACACCGGUGGCGAAGGCGGGUCUCUGGGCAGUAACUGACGCUGAGGAGCGAAAGCGUGGGGAGCAAACAGG